rnacentral:rRNA from 1 species
UACGUAGGGUGCAAGCGUUAAUCGGAAUUACUGGGCGUAAAGCGUGCGCAGGCGGUUUUGUAAGACCGAUGUGAAAUCCCCGGGCUUAACCUGGGAACUGCAUUGGUGACUGCAAGGCUAGAGUGUGUCAGAGGGAGGUGGAAUUCCGCGUGUAGCAGUGAAAUGCGUAGAGAUGCGGAGGAACACCGGAUGGCGAAGGCGAGCCUCCUGGGAUAACACUGACGCUCAUGCACGAAAGCGUGGGGAGCAAACAGG